rnacentral:rRNA from 1 species
UACAGAGGGUGCGAGCGUUAAUCGGAAUUACUGGGCGUAAAGCGUGCGCAGGCGGUGAUGUAAGACAGGUGUGAAAUCCCGGGGCUCAACCUCGGAACUGCAUUUGUGACUGCAUCGCUGGAGUGCGGCAGAGGGGGAUGGAAUUCCGCGUGUAGCAGUGAAAUGCGUAGAUAUGCGGAGGAACACCGAUGGCGAAGGCAAUCCCCUGGGCCUGCACUGACGCUCAUGCACGAAAGCGUGGGGAGCAAACAGG